rnacentral:rRNA from 1 species
UACGUAGGGUGCGAGCGUUAUUCGGAAUUACUGGGCGUAAAGCGCGCGCAGGCGGUUUGUUGUGUCUGAUGUGAAAGCCCCGGGCUCAACUUGGGAACGGCAUUGGAAACUGGCGAGCUAGAGUGUGGCAGAGGGGGGUGGAAUUCCGCGUGUAGCAGUGAAAUGCGUAGAGAUGCGGAGGAACACCGAUGGCGAAGGCGGCCCCCUGGGCUGACACUGACGCUCAGGCACGAAAGCGUGGGGAGCAAACAGG